CCUACGGGUGGCAGCAGUGGGGAAUCUUGGACAAUGGGGGCAACCCUGAUCCAGCGACGCCGCGUGGGUGAUGAAGGCCUUCGGGUUGUAAAGCCCUUUCGCCGGGGACGAUGAUGACGGUACCCGGAGAAGAAGCACCGGCUAACUCCGUGCCAGCAGCCGCGGUAAGACGGAGGGUGCUAGCGUUGUUCGGAAUCACUGGGCGUAAAGGGCGCGUAGGCGGCCUUUGGUGUCGGAUGUGAAAGCCCGGGGCUCAACUCCGGAGGUGCAUCCGAAACUCAGGGGCUCGAGGCCGGAAGAGGAGGGUGGAAUACCCAGUGUAGAGGUGAAAUUCGUAGAUAUUGGGUGGAACACCGGUGGCGAAAGCGGCUCUCUGGUCCGGACCUGACGCUGAGGCGCGAAAGCGUGGGGAGCAAACAGGAUUAGAUACCCCAGUAGUC
rnacentral:rRNA from 1 species